GGACCCGCACAAGUAGUGGAGCAUGUGGUUUAAUUCGAAGAUACGCGCAGAACCUUACCAACACUUGACAUGUUCGUCGCGACUUUAAGAGAUUAAAGUUUUCGGUUCGGCCGGACGAAACACAGGUGCUGCAUGGCUGUCGUCAGCUCGUGUCGUGAGAUGUUGGGUUAAGUCCCGCAACGAGCGCAACCCUCACUUUUAGUUGCCAUCAUUAAGUUGGGCACUCUGAAAGAACUGCCAGUGAUAAGCUGGAGGAAGGUGGGGAUGACGUCAAGUCCUCAUGGCCCUUACGUGUUGGGCUACACACGUGCUACAAUGGUAUCUACAACAGGAAGCAAGACGGCGACGUUAAGCAAAUCCUUAAAAACCUAAUCUCAGUUCGGAUUGCAGGCUGCAACUCGCCUACGUGAAGGCGGAAUCGCUAGUAAUCG
rnacentral:rRNA from 1 species